GACGAACGCUGGCGGCGUGCCUAAUACAUGCAAGUCGAACGCAGUGGGGACGGGUGAGUAACACGUGGGUAACCUCCCAUCAGAGGGGAUAACACUUGGACACAGGUGCUAAACCGAUACUGGUUGAUGGACCCGCGGUGCAUUAGCUAGUUGGUGGGGUAACGGCUCACCAAGGCCAAGAUGCAUAGCCGAGCUGAGAGGAUGAGCGGCCACACUGGGACUGAGACACGGCCCAGACGCCAACGGGAGGCAGCAGUGGGGAAUCUUGGGCAAUGGACGAAACUCUGACCGAGCCACGCCGCGUGAGUGAAGAAGGUUUUCGGAUCGUAAAGUUCUUUUGGUAGAGAAGCGGUAUCUGACGAGUAAGCAACGGCUAACUACGUGCCAGCCGCCGCGGUAAUAC
rnacentral:rRNA from 1 species